CUCCUCCCCCCUCCGCUACCCAUUGUCUCUCCAUACAGUACCAGGCUGAGGGGAUGCCAUUCCGGCUCCAGCGAGGGAUGCAGGAGAAGGAGGUGCUGCGGGUUGAAAAAGUACUUCCUGUUUCCUUCCUUGAACCAGAAGUUUUCGUCCAUAGCGGUUCUGCUCGAAAGGAUUCUUCAUUUAUCAUUUCAAGCAACGUUUUUUUCUAAACGUCGCCGUGGAGUUAUUGAGUCUGUUUAGCUGAUCGGAGAGCAAGCUUCCAGCCAGUGGGCCCAUGUCGAUGACUUCUGUUUUGUUUAAUCACCAUUUGGAAACAAUUAAGGUCCUGUGACAUGCAACUUGCUUAGGUGGGCACUGGCCUCCCCCGUGAAGCCUGUUCAACAGCGAUUGGCAGCAACAUUAAAGUAUCCAUUCAAGACUAUAUUUUUUUUCUGUGUUGGCGAGCAACCCUCGCAGUCUUCAUUCUUGAAAUGUCUAAAUUCAGGGUUUGAUGUAAGGAGAAAAUCGCUAAAGAGUGAAGAAGAAUGUGAUGCAUACUAGAUCAAUAUUUUGUCACCUUUAGAUUGCCUGUGUGCUUGUCAGGCAUCCAUAUGGACCACUAUUACGUUGUCACAAAAUAUGUUCUGAUCAUCUAUAGACAGGAAAGGGUGCCUUUCACAUUACCAAUAUGGUACCAAAUCCCGAUACCUGGGAAUCGAUAGCGGUAGUUUUCAGUAAUUUUGAGUGUGUGUUUGAUAAAUGUUAACUGUAUAAUAAUAAAACCAUUUUUUAACUUUUAACACACAGUUUAGUAACUCUGUUGUUCAGUUGUUAUAUAUAUAUUUAUUUAACUUCAAGUUCUGACUCUCAUUAACAAGUAUUGUAUAGUAAACUUUGCAUGCAGUUGCAAUUCCAAAGUAUUAGAUAGCAGUAGUGUAUAGCUACGGUGUGUUGCCUAGCUAGGAUAUAGUCUUUGCCAUUAAGUUAAAUCUGCCAGUCUUGUCUUUUGUUGAGUCCUGCAAAGUGUUUGUAAUGUAAGUAUUGUACUUAUUACACACCAGUUGUUUGAUUGUAACGUGCGUCAUAGUUAUAGUUUUCGUGACCCAAUUUAGAAGUAUUAAACUUGCCAUAUAAAAUUGCUAAGGCUAAUCAGUAGCAUAUGACACGACAUCAAGCUAGCAUACUUUGAAAAGUGGGGCCUUACCUUGUGUUUAUGCAUUUUGCUUUGUUGGCAAUUGAAAACUUCAACAUAUAGAGGUAGAUCGGCCAAGUCUGCUCUGAGUGCUGCUUGAGUGCUCGUUUGCCCGCCAAGUGUUUGAGCCGGUCAUCUGCAACCGGACGUGACCUCACGUGCCCUGAAGUUAUCAAAUUAUGGCACUGUUUGAUUUUACAAGAAUCGAUACCCACCAGUACUGACCGAAUUCUAUCUAUAAAAGUACUGGACUCUGUAGCCAUCCCCAUUUAUAACCACAAUUCCAAAAAAUGACUACAUCUUUUAUACCUCCUAUUUUACAAAGGAAAUUAAUAAGUUACAUUUAUGUAGAUCACAAAGAUAUUGUUAGCAUUCAUCCUUACAUGGAAACACAUUCCAUUUGAGGGGAAAAGAGGAGCACCGUGACCUAGUAAGCCGGUACUUAAUAUUUCCAGUGCUAAGGAACAGUGGGUGAUUAUUUAUUAUGUUUUCUUGUGCAGGUUCUGGGAGAUCUAGGAACAAGCUUCCAGGAAAUACUUCUAACAUCUUGUGAGAUGAUUGGUUUGGUUGUUAUAUUGAUGAAAACAGUAUUUGUUUUUAAAUAAAAGU